AAUAAAAACCCAAUAAUAAUUUCUGUUAGUUGGAUUGAGUUAGUUGUUUGAUAACAAGGUCUUUCUCUUAUGAAACCUUGUCUUUCUCUUACAGAAGACCAGAUUGUCUUGUGGGUCUCUUACAGAAGAGGAUACUUGAGUUUAAGCUUCAUGAUGAGAUUUAUUAUUUUAAAAAAAUCUUAUGACUAGACAUCCUGAUUAACUUAUAACAUGGUUUGCAAUUGUCUUCUGGAUUAUUGAAACCACCAACCUGACACAGGAGCCAACUCUUCUUGUUUUCUUUUGUAACUUGAUAAGAGCCCAACAGGAUACAUGAAGGAAUAUGUAGGUUAUAGCAACAUUGCAUAGAAAGGUAAGUGAGGCAAGUAGUUUUCUGUUCAUUGGCGGAAUUUUGCAGCUUCUCGGAAAUAAUCCAAGGUUGUCUUGUGGGUCAUACUAAUAAAAUUGCAACUCCUUGAGAGGUUUGAAAUAGAACUGAGGAAAAUUUAAACUCUCAAACAUGUUGAUUCUCAUUUCUAAUGUUUCAAACUCUUUACAUUUCUGAAACAUGCAUCUGACCCAAUGAUAAAAUCCACGGCGGUCCAUAAACUAUUGAACAAUGAAGCGUAGAAGAUAUAAUGCAGCUAUUAAACAAUAAAGAGUAAACGAUAUAAAGACUGAAUAUGAACCAGAAUAUAAUGAAUUUUACACAUAUUCUAAAGCAAGUUACAAGGUCUUUCUCUUAUGAAACCUGGUCUUUCUCUUAUCGGCCAAUAUUCUUCACAUUGAUCUGCUUAUUUUAAUUAUUUGAUGGAUUAUGUAGUGGUUUUGGAUUGAGUUAGUGGUUAGAUAACUAGGUUCAUAAAUUCAUUGGUGGUUACUGAAGUAUUACGAGGACUAUGUCAGUUGUUUUUUUGUUCCUAUAAUGUCAUUCUCAGAUAUUAGUUUUUGGCAAAGUUUAUCUUUGAUAUAUGUUUCCUGAAAUGUUCAUUAUCAUGUCACAUUCUGGCUGAUCAAAAUUUACGUUAUAUGAUAGUUAAAGUUGGUAACUUUUGAAAGGGGCCAAGUUUUGACUUUGUUCUACUGGGUAUGCUGUGACUUGCUGUGAGAAAAGUGAAAUGUUCGCUUCGUUAGUCAUUGAUCACGGUUAGAAUUCCAAGCAAGAAAAAGGGACAAACCCUUGUAGUUCAAAUUUUUUGUCAAUUAUUAUUUUUCAAUUGCGAUGAAUAUGCAAACUUUUGUAUCUGUAGCCGUGAAUCAUGGAGUCAUCUUCAAGCAAUCGUCAUGGACUGUUGUGCCAUUGUGAAAGGAGGGCUAUACUCUCUAGAUCUGGAACUAAGACGAACCCUGGUCGAUUGCUUUUGGGAUGCGCUAAUUGAAAAGUGAGUAAUUGUGGAUUCUUCAAAUGGGUAUCUGAUGAAGAGGAGUUUGAAGGUUCAAAGACAGGGCUUGUUCAGACAAAGCUGUCGAGCGUGAGGCCGCAAGUUUCAAGAGCCGUGUCAAGUGGAGAAUUGCGGGAAAAGAGAAAGAUUGAGAUUGAUAUUAUGGAUUUGUUGAAGCUUGUUGUAUUUGCUCUUUUAUUUGGUAUUUUUCUUGGAUUUGUAUUUGGUAUUUUUAUUGGAUUUGUGCUAAGUAGAGUGUAAGAAUGUAUUAUCUUUCUUUGUGGAAGUGUAUGUUGAUGAGAACUUCUAGUGUUCUGGAUUUGUAUCUUCAGACAAAUUAGAAUAGUAAUUUGUUUUAUACUC